rnacentral:lncRNA from 1 species
AUAACAUCAAAAAUGAUCAGUGCAGAGGACCUCAGGGUCAGUUAGCCUGAGGGCUCAGAGCAACAGCAUCUACUGAACAUUUACCCACAAUGAGCUAAAGUCUCCUCCAUGUGUGCAUAGCUUCAUAGACUCACAAGGACAUCUUUCUCCAAUGACCAUCUGUCUUCCUCUUGCACCAAUCAAGGGGAAAAGGAAUGUACCUAAAAUUUCCCAGGAAAAAAUGAGAAAGUUACUCCCAACUAAUUUUGACCUCUGCCAGCCAAAUUGCCAAACUGAGGAAGCUGGCAUUACUCUAAAGAUCACCAUGGGUGGAGUUCAGCUGGAAGGAGAGGGCCAAGCUCCCUGGAAGUGUGGAUGCAGAUGUCUGCUGGGUUCUCCC